CCCUUAGAUGUUCUGGGCCGCACGCGCGCUACACUGAUGCAUUCAACGAGUCUAAAACCUGCUCUGAUAGGGGUGGGUAAUCUUUUGAAUGUGCAUCGUGAUUGGGAUAGAUGAUUGCAAUUUUUCAUCUUCAACGAUGAAUGCCUAGUAAACGCAAGUCAUCAGCUUGCAUUGAUUACGUCCCUGCCCUUUGUACACACCGCCCGUCGCUCCUACCGAUUGAAUGAUCCGAUGAAUAUCAUGGAUUGAGGAUGUAAGCAGGUUCGCCUGUCUUCAUCUUCGAGAAGUGAAGUAAAUCUUAUCAUUUAGAGGAAGGAGAAGUCGUAACA
rnacentral:rRNA from 1 species